GUAUAAAGUCAACAGAAACUGACUCGUGAGAUUCCGCUUAAAUGGCUUUGAAAUGAAACACCACCCGAGAGUUCCACCUGUGCUGGAGGGGAAGAGGAUCAAGGCUACUGCCCCUGCCCAGAUGACCCUCUGCCUGAGGCCUGGCCUAUGACAGAUGCCACCAAAUACUGUUCAAGAAUUGAGAUGUGGAUGACAGCUGAUGAGGUGAUGGGGGGGCGGGGAAUCGCACACUCCUGUGCACAGAGAGGAAUUCGCUAGGAAACGAAGAUCCUGACCAGCCUAUCUGAAUGCUUUCUUCAGGAAUCCUUUCCCACAUCAUCUCAGCUUUACAAGGAUAAGUGGCCCCAGGAGUUGAGAUUGUUGAAUUAGCUGAAGGUGUGUGGACAGCAGUAACUACGAACCUUGGAAUUCACCCAGGAAGUCUCUCGACCACAAAGACCAGAGGGAUGUCUUGAGGCAGCGUGUGGACCUGGGAGCUCGGGGCCUUUUGGAAAACAUCUGGAAACAGCACAUCUCCUGCUUCAAACCUCACAAAUCAACGACAGCCUCCCAGGGAGAUUUACCGUCUUUGUCCUCCGUCCUGACAACCAGGUGGUCACGCAAUCAGCAAACCAGCUACAGUUACAGAUACGACACUCUUCUAAACGACUGCC